rnacentral:rRNA from 1 species
UACGAAGGGGGCUAGCGUUGCUCGGAAUCACUGGGCGUAAAGCGCACGUAGGCGGAUCUUUAAGUCAGGGGUGAAAUCCCAAGGCUCAACCUUGGAACUGCCUUUGAUACUGGGGAUCUCGAGUCCGGAAGAGGUUGGUGGAACUGCGAGUGUAGAGGUGAAAUUCGUAGAUAUUCGCAAGAACACCAGUGGCGAAGGCGGCCACUGGUCCGGUACUGACGCUGAGGUGCGAA